GCCUGGGUGGCUCAGUCGCUUAAGCAUCUGACUUUGGCUCAGGUCAUGAUCUCACAGCUCGUGGGUUCGAGCCUCGCGUCAGGCU
rnacentral:tRNA from 1 species